rnacentral:lncRNA from 1 species
GUAACAACAGUCUUUGCAGCUCCGCUCACUCUCGCUUUCUCUUUCUCUUGGUCCCUGUCAUGAGCCCACACCGGGCAGGCUUACCCACAGCAGCCAGUGAGUCAGGCAAAAAAGGAAUCGUACCACCCGGCUGAGCCUAGAGAAAGGCUACGAAGGCUGGUGUGAAUCGAUGAAAGAUAAUCCGAAGAAAGGCGAAGGUGGCGAGCCGGAGCGGGUGAUUUGGGGCAAAGGCCAAAAGCAUCCUAACCAGAGGCCGAAACAGCUGAAGACAACUUCUCUCCAGACCCAUUUGCUGAUUAAUAUAGCGCAAGCUCUUGGGGUACCAACAGAGGACAAACCACUGACCCAGGGUAAGUCUCAGGCCACUAACUCCUGACGUUACUGUGGAUACUCUGGCCCAGCUGGGUUGGCCGACCAAGGACCAGAGAUACAGAAAACCAGGUUAUCCCUGAUGUCUUACAUCUUUGUAUUCUACUUCAAUAUUUCCCUUAGUCUUUGAGUCCAUUG